GACGAACGCUGGCGGCGCGCCUAACACAUGCAAGUCGAGCGGGAAACUUUUUAAGGAUUCUUCGGAUGAAUUAAAAAGUGGAGAGCGGCGGACGGGUGAGUAACGCGUGAGAAACCUGCCCUAUACAGGGGGAUAGCCAUUGGAAACGAUGAUUAAUACCCCAUAUGACCACAGUAUCGCAUGAUACAGCGGUGAAAACUCCGGUGGUAUAGGAUGGUCUCGCGUCUGAUUAGCUAGUUGGUGGGGUAACGGCCUACCAAGGCGACGAUCAGUAGCCGGCCUGAGAGGGUGACCGGCCACACUGGAACUGAGACACGGUCCAGACUCCUACGGGAGGCAGCAGUGGGGAAUAUUGCACAAUGGGCGAAAGCCUGAUGCAGCGACGCCGCGUGAACGAUGAAGGCUUUCGAGUCGUAAAGUUCUGUUCUUGGGGAAGAUAACGACGGUACCCAAGGAGAAAGCACCGGCUAAAUACGUGCCAGCAGCCGCGGUAAUACGUAUGGUGCAAGCGUUGUCCGGAAUUACUGGGCGUAAAGAGUUCGUAGGCGGUUAGAUUAGUCAGAAGUGAA
rnacentral:rRNA from 1 species